GCAAAGACAGUUAAUUUGCUUCUUAAUUAAAUAAAAAAUAAAUGUAAUCCAUAUCUUGGCUUCAUAAAAAGAACACAAUGUACUCUGAUGCACUCAUUUUAAACUCAGAAGUACAUUGAGAACAAUCUCGUUUACUAUAAGCUAUUUUAAUUCAGCAGAAAUAUACAAAACAUAUGAAAAUGGAGUUGCAAACUAAAAAAAARUAAAUUAGUAAAGUAAUAACCCUACUAAACACAUCCUUGUUUAAUUAUUAAAACUACUACAAAAUGACAGCUGAAAUGGCUCCAUGUCACUUUUUUAAUAAUCUGUCAACAUGUUCAUUUCUGAGUGAGUGAGCGUCAGCAGCACGCUGCGCUUGGGCAUUACGUCCUUACACAUUACAUACUCACCAGGCGGAAGAAAAAGUAGUUCCCAUUAACAACGUUUCAUUUCGGCAAGAUCUCAAUAAUUUAGUUACUUUCUAACUUGCUCUUGUUAAUCUACAUUAUCUCAAAUUACUAAAGUGUUGAAAGUAUUGAUCCUUGGAUCUGACAAUAGAUUUUAAAGAAUUAAGUUCUGGUAUCGGAAGAAUCGAUAUUUCAGUAUCAAUCCGCACAUCACUAACGGCAACGCCAGAGAUCAUUUAACUGCCCUGAUUAACCGUUAAUUCAGUUGUAACAGCCUAACUAAGCUUUUAUCUACUGUACUUUUAUAAGAUUUUCUUUUGGCAAAUUCUCUAAUCUCGGUUGGACAUGAAUGAAGAUGGAGGACUUUUUUACGUGUAUAGACCCUACAGCUGCUGUACUCAGAGUAAACCAAACUGUUGCCAUGGUGAAGCCUAUGCCAGACACAUCUCCWAUCACGUAUUGCACCAUCUACAAGAAACUUUGGGAAUUGCAAGUGACGGCAUCCUUCACAUUCUUGAGCAGAUGACCCAACAACUUCAAACAAGACCACUUUUCAGCUCUGUGGUGAUCGUGAAACCAACUUUCUACUGGCCAUUGGAACCAUGCCUGCCCUGAUCUUCUGAAAGGAGGACAUCAUAGCUACUACACCUUUCAGCAUCCGUGUGUGUGGCCACUCCUCUCUGUGCUGCUGACAGACGUCUUGAGAACGCCGUCCGUAACUGAGGCAAGACUUCCACAUAUAAAAGGCUAUGGCUUAUUGGAAGAAGUUCAUUGCGGGGGAAGCUCCUAUUGUUGACAUCUAAUCCCAAGAUUUUUUUUUGCUUUGGACAAUUUGGUUUGCUUGACUCUUAGUGCAGCAGAUGUGUCAGAUCGUCAUUGUUCUGUCAUUUUACAGGAUUGUUUCAGAAUCAGAUGCCCAUCCAGACUUUAAAUUCUGACCAGUAGUCAUGUUUUAUUGUGUUUAUGUGAAACUUAAACGUAAUAAAGAUGUUAAAAGUAA